rnacentral:lncRNA from 1 species
AACGUAACCAAACCCUGGUUCAGACUGCCUGGGUAGUCCAUGAUGGUAAGUCAUAGAACUCUGCCCUCUGCACUUCAGCCCAUGACCUCAGGAUGGCCUGAUUGGCUAGCCUGCUCUCCAGCCAAUCCAGUGCAAGCUCUCAUCCGAGAUUCACUGAAGUGGUCCAUAUCCAUCUGGCAGCAUCUUCUAGUUCUGUCGGGGUGUCAAAAGGAUUUGUAUAUUUGCUUCUAGAAGUAACUAUGCAUCAUGCCUAUGUAUUAUUCAAUGUAUACCUGUAACUAUCAAAAUGAAUAUUUCAUUUUUGAUAGAUUGUUGUCCAGCUAUUAUGAAUUGUUUUUGUUUUUUGUUUUUUGUUUUUUUUUUUAAUUGGGUUCAAUUAAAUUUCUACUUUGCAGUGUGUAUGGCAUCCUUUCUACCACAGGAGGCUGAGGCUACCUUACACUGGUAGUUUUAAAUAGGUACCUGUUGC